ensembl:processed_transcript Dleu2 deleted in lymphocytic leukemia, 2
GGAGCUUUGCUGAAACUGCACAAAAAAUCGAGCUGGGGGGUUCCCUGGUCCCCGAUGUUGGGGCGGAGAGCGCGGCGCCGAGGGAGGGGGCGGCGCAGACCGGCCUAGGGGACACCUGGUCGAGCGCAGCCGCCGCUCCGCUCGAGCCCUGCGCUCCAGUGCCCCCACUGGCUGGAGAGCUCGCCCAGACCGGGGGUCUUCCUCCGUCGCUGACAGAUUUUAACCAUUAGAAGAAUACCAGUUCUGGAAAACAACCAAAGUUUCUUUGAUUGAAUGCCCAUGUAAUGCAUUGGAAUAUGAUAGGCGAUUAAGGUUUAACAAUGUUAAAAUGAAGAUAUUACUAAAAUGGCCCUCUAAAUAGCCCAACAAUUAUUAUUUUCUUUGUCCUAUGGAUUUGGCUUUGAAAGAUGUGCUGCUCUUAAUAAGUGUGUAGUCAUUAAACCCAGAACCUCAGAGGGCUCUACUACUAAACCAUAUACCAGUACCAAAACCGAAAAAUAUUGACGAUACUUUUGUGCUGAAUAUUCCUCAGCCUUAACUUACUAAUGCUUAUGCCCAAUGGAUCUUCCUUCAUGAAGUACCCUCUCCUCCCCCCCAUUUAUCUUUGGUGAUUUUAAUAAAUAAUACCUUUGGAAAA